rnacentral:misc_RNA from 1 species
GAUGAAGGAACGCAGCGAAAUGCGAUACGUAGUGUGAAUUGCAGAAUUCAGUGAAUCAUCGAAUCUUUGAACGCACAUUGCACCUCUCGGUAUUCCGGGAGGUAUGCCUGUUCGAGCGUCAUUUGUACCCUCAAGCUCUGCUUGGUGUUGGGUGUUUGUUCCGCCUCUGUGUGUGAACUCGCCUCAAAACAAUUGGCAGCCGGCGUACUUGUUUCGGAGCGCAGCACAUUUUGCGAUCCAGAUCAACGUACAGCGGCAUCCAAGAAGCCUUAUUUAACGCUCUUGACCUCGGAUCAGGUAGGGAUACCCGCUGAACUUAAGCAUAUCAAUAAGCGGAGGA